UGCGGUUGACAGUUGUGUAAUAAACGGGACGGCGUAUAUAUAAACUUGAGAAUUUUUUUUUCCAUUUCCAGGUGUUUGCAGAAGUUAAACAAUGAAACGCGCGCUCGGCUUAUACACACCGAGAGAGCCAGCCCCCCGUUGAAACGAAACUUCCGGGAUUACGCGUUCCGAGGGAUUACAUUUACCAACACGUCACGACGUCGAAGAAGGAAACCAAUAUUGUUUCGCAAGCGCGGGGCUCCGAUUCUCUCAAAGAGACGGAGGAGGAAAGCGCGCGCUUGUGAAUGAGAAAAGCACGUCGCCGAGACUUUAUUGCAUAAUUGGACGAUUCUCUUCGUGAAACCAUUCGCGCGUAAACUAAGGCGCUUUGUUGGUAAAACUCAACCGAAGUCUCUUCGCUUACACAUGCAACGAACCGCGCCGUUGUUGUGUGGUGACCAUUUCGCCUGGGAAGGGGGAGGAGAACGCAAUGAAAUAUUGCGCGAGCCGGAAGAAGGAUCGACCAUUUGCUCACCGAUCAAUCUUGUCCAUCGUCGUGGGAUGCUGCAGGAUGGUUUGUUGCCCCGUCAUCUCGACGACGCAUUGCGUACCGAGUUCCAGCUCUGUAACGAGAAAAGGAAGAGACCGCAAUUAGGAUUCGACGGCGAACAGGUGUUGAGCGCUUCGUCGUCGAGGACACGCGGAGAUGUGGACAGGUGGUCUCGAAGAGAUCGAUUCGCCGAAAACACGGGGAGAGCGAAAAUAAUCGAACGUGUAUUUCGUUCGUUCGAACGAGCAAACUUUUGUACAUGUGUGUCUGCGCAAAAGUUCUACACGCGCGCGACACGGAUAACUAAUUCAUCAUCCGACUCGGCUAACGAUCUCCUUAAUUGUCGUCAUUCGCGCGCAUGAAAUAAUUUAUCGAAGAGUUUGUAAUGUACGGGAUACAUAUCGCAAAAAUGAAAGCGUGUGUUGUGUAUGUGCGCGCGCGCGCGUUCUUUUGUCGUAUCGCCUCAUUGAAAUAGUUUAACGAGGUCAGUUUGUAAUCUAGAGACAGUUUUCUCUUUCUCCCUGUAACACUUUCUCCGACAAAUUUCUUAUAACGAUUUUAUGCGGCGUGGUCGUAUAUUUCAACGUUAACUCUCCCUAGGAACUAGUGUCUGUGUGUGUAUGUGUGUAUGUUUGUGUGUGUUUUAACGACUCGUAUCGAUAGAACGGUGCUCUCGUCGCAGCGAGCAUCAUCUCGAAUAAUCGUUAAAGUCAAUGAACGACAGAGAAACGGGCGUUGUGAUAGCGAGAUUCGCGUCGCCACAAGGCGACGAGAGAGCGAGCCUAAGAAAGGGCUGAUGACUCAUAAAAGCUUGGGUGGAAAGCAAGUUGUAGAGUGUUUUAUUAUGCCGAGGUGCGACAUCGCGCGCGAACACACUGUGUGAUGUUGUACAACGAAAUGAGACAUCGAUUGUUUCAGGAAAGUCCAAGAAUGUGUGUGUGUGUGUGUGUGUGUGUGCGCAACACCGUAUUAAAACGAAGAAAGUCGCGCGCGCGACCGGUCAAUUUAUGUGCGCGACCGAUGAUCGAAUUGAUAUCGAUACAUAUCGUUUAAUCUCGCGCGCGCGAUUCCGUUUGCAAAGUUUUUCUUCGGGAUUCCAACGUCCAAACGAAAAUCGACGACGACACACACACACACACACACACGCGCGCGUAUCAAACGAUUUAUUUGUGUUUGUAUCGCGGCCGGUUGUGUCAACGGUGAGAGAAAAAUUGAUAACCGCUCUCUCGUCGGAAAAUUUAUAUAUCGCAGCUUCCAGAUAGUUUUUUCUUAACGGCGCGAAAAAGACAGAGAGUUCUUGCGAAAAGCUCUCCGCGGCGCGUUGUUCGCGCGAUUCGCCCGAAGAUCGUCGGACAAAAAGCGAGAGAAACUUUUAGAACGUCGAUUUUUACGGUUCGUUAAGCGAUAAAAAAAAAGACGUCUGAGCUCCGCUGAAGUGACGAGAAACCCUUGGUCGGGUUGCGUCGCGUCGUGCGAAUUGAAUCUCACAGCGCGAAAGUUCGACAAUUAGCAAGCUACGGAGGAGAGGAGGAAAAAAAUUAUGUAAUUCUUCACGCGCCUCUCGCCUUUGUAGUCUACACCGACGACGUCAAAUUCGACGCUCGCGGAUGUACGUGUGUUGUUACGCACGCGUCGCGCGAGGGAGGAAAGCGUUUGUGUGUGUGUGUUUGUGCGCUCACGCGCGAUCGGGCGAGAACGCGAGCAAUUGUGUAACGCACGCUUCAUUGUUGUUGCUCGAAUUGCAAUAUCGCAGGUGAGACACACCGGGCGUGUGAUCUCGAACGGCGCGAUUCGCACGGAUGUAAUUUAAACCGUUAGAUCGAACAUUGAAGCUAACACUUAACCGCGCGCGCGCGCGCGCCCGAUAGCGUGGCUGGUUCGCGAACCGAGCGAAUGCGAUCGUCGAAUCGUCUUGCGUCAAAAAAAAAAACAAAACGAAGCAAUGUGCACACGUGUGUGCGAUUGAGAG